rnacentral:rRNA from 1 species
AUUGAACGCUGGCGGCAGGCCUAACACAUGCAAGUCGAACGAGUGGCGGACGGGUGAGUAAUGUCUGGGAAACUGCCUGAUGGAGGGGGAUAACUCCUGGAAACGGUAGCUAAUACCGCAUACCAUCGGAUGUUCCCAUAUGGGAUUAGCUAGUUGGUGGGGUAAAGGCUCACCAAGGCGACGAUCCCUAGCUGGUCUGAGAGGAUGACCAGCCACACUGGAACUGAGACACGGUCCAGACUCCUACGGGAGGAAGCAGUGGGGAAUAUUGCACAAUGGGCGCAAGCCUGAUGCAGCCAUGCCGCGUGUAUGAAGAAGGCCUUAGGGUUGUAAAGUACUUUCAGCGGGGAGGCGUUACCCGCAGAAGAAGCACCGGCUAACUCCGUGCCAGCAGCCGCGGUAAUAC